GGCACGAUCCUCUUGGUGUAGGUAAUUGGUGCUGCUGGAGACACAGAUUAAGUGGGGGAGAACAAGCCUCAAGCAGCUGGAUGUCUUUUUUUUUUUUUCAGUUUGGUGCCUUGGAGUAGCAGCCCUGCAGGUAUUGGUGUGUAGCUUUAGUGAGCAGGACUAGGAGAGUGCACCACCUUUGUUUCUGCUGUUGCCUAGAUUGAUCUUAGGUGUGAGGCUCUCAUGUCUGGUAAUUUUGAGUGAAGCCGCUGGUUGUUGUGGAGGUAGGUUCUGCUCAAUGAGAAGUUUUGGUGAGGUGUUCUUGGAAAAGUGGAUGCUAUUACAACACAAUUAUAUCUGCUCUGUAAUGAUGUUGCUGUCAUAGUUUUUUGAGUCUUUGCUGUUUGGAGACUCGGAAUUGAUUGUGGUGAUUUGUUCAUUCUCUUCUACUAGAUCUUGAAGCUACCGAUUUUGUUAUGUUGGUUAAGGGCUUCUUGUCUAGUAUGAAUGGUGUUUUGCUGGAAUGUGUGGUUGCUCUUAAGUUGUUUUUAGGAAGGGAAGCUGCAUUGUUCUGUAGUUUUCAUUUUGUGAGCCUUUUAUGUGCUCUUUAGUGCUCAAGAACCUAAGGUAUUUUGUAAUAGUGACAACACUAGAGUUUUCUUUUUCAAAUUUCUAAUAGCAUCUAACUUGUUGUUUUGGGUAUUUUUUACCAUUAAUUUCAAAGUUAUUGUUAUUAAUAUGUAUUCCUAUUAAAUAAAGAUGUUCCUAAUAAUAAAUAUAUAAUCUAGAUAUUCCUGAUUAUAAAAGUUUGCACCUUAUAUAAUUCUGACUAUUUGUUCCUGGGUUCACUCUGGCACACUGCAUGCAACAUAUAACAUACUAAAAGUGCCAUCUAGAAGAUCUGAAUAGUACCAAUUCAAAUAAAGCAUUUCGUUAAAUCUCUUUCUUUCAUGGACUAGAAUGAAAAAUCACUUACUUUUUUGGGAUUAUGUAAUUAAAGUGAUAGACAUCAAUGAGUGCUUGUAUAUCUUCAUGUUAAAUUGAUUACAAUACAAACAUCAAUGGUUUACUAACUAAGCUAUAGUGCAGAAGCAGUGUUAGCAAAAAAACCAGUAUGUCCACUUCAAUAAUGGUUUUUUCUUUUAACAGAAUAAAAGUAUCCUUGAUGAAUUGGGAAAGCUGUUUGAACUUUGAAACAAAUAUUUUGUAUAUGCCUGCUAAUAUUCUUUCUGAAGUUCUAUUAUGCACCCUAAGACAAGUAUUAGGAGAUUUGUUAUGUCUAAUAGCUACUUAGUUUUUCAUUUCCAUGCUGUUUUUUCAAGGUGACAAAACUUGUUGUAGUCGUGGAAGCUGAUUUAAAAUAAAAAACCGAGCAAAGCAUAAAGAAUGUCAACAAGUCAGAAAUAGAAUUAUGCAAGGAUAUAAACAAAAUUGAGGUAAGCCAAUCUAUUUCUUUUGACAACGAAUAGUAUAUAUAUUUGUUUUUUCUUUUAUAGGAAGAGUUUUCUUUUAAUUUUUCUAUAGGAAGAGUACUAGAUAAGACAUGAUAGUAUGAGGUUAUGUUGGGACAAGUCUGGUUAUGUUGUUGAUUUUGUUGUUAUUGCUGAUCUGUGGUUUGUGGUUAGUAUUUAACUGCUUGGAAGAAGUUUUUCUUUGAUAAUUUAUAUUUGUUUAUGCUGUGAACUAUAUUUACAGGACAUCUGUGGAAAUGAGUCUGAAUGAUUUCACUGGGAAGGUUAUACUGAUUGUGAAUGUUGCCUGACAAUGGUAACAUACUGUGUGUGUUCAGAAAGCUUAGAUCUUUGCUGGUGAAUGUGAAAUAAUCUCUACAGGGUAGGGAUAUUGUAAAGCUAGGGAUAUUGUAAAGCUAUAGUUUUCAGGGCUAGAGCAUAGGUUUUUAGGUUGGACUAUGCCACACAACAUUGUUUCUUAGUAAUAGAAACCGUUCUUAAGAAGAUAUAAUAUAAAUUGAUAUUAUCAAAGUCUGCACAAUGAGUUUCAUGAUGUUUGGCAUGAUUUUUUUAAUGUUAUUAAAUUGAAAAAUACAAGCUCAAUUGUAAAACUAACAGUUGUAUCAGGAAGCUUAUAGAAAAAACAAUAUUCAAUUUUCA
rnacentral:lncRNA from 1 species